AGAGGAAUUGCUGGGUCGUAUGGUAAUUAUGUGUUUAACUUUUUGAGGGAUUGCCAAACUGUUUUCCAUAGUGGCUAUACCAUUUUACAUUCCCAGCAGCAGU
rnacentral:pre_miRNA from 1 species